GCUCUGCAAUGGAGCAGCAGCUCAGGACUGCAGCUCCAAGGCUGCCUUGACACCAUGGAAGUGGAGGCUGCACCAGACAGGAAAAAAGUCUCUAUUUCCUCUAACAACCCUUUAGCUACAACAUGUAAUCUCAAGUACUGAGCCAGACAUCUAACUACCCUUUAUCUCCAGCAAAAAAAACUACUCCUUCCUAUUCCUCUUUUAUGUUUGAACUAGCUAUUUUCUCCAGGUGUUUUUUUACCUUGUCAUAAUCCAUUACCUUCACAUGCUUUGAUCUUUCCAUUGGGAGUUUAUUUUCUCCCUUCAAAGAUCUUUUCCAGUCAGAAGAUAUUUUUCACAGGCUCUGUUCCAUUCAGAUGUCACAGUUUGAUGCUUUUCUUUCCCUGCCUUUUUUUUUUUUUUAAAUUUAUGAACAUUUAAGAAAUCAAAUUUCAGAUUAGAACCAAGCCAGGCAAGUUUCUUCCUGACGACACAAGAUGUGGCCUCUGAUGAAGAAUCCAAAGGACACACAUUGUGUACACACUGCUGGAAUAAAUUCACUCCACAGAAGGUUUUGUGAGGCAAAAUAGUUACAGGAGAGCAAAGAUAUUCAAAGACAGAAGGCCAGAGACAGCAGCAAUCUCAUUCUGUGUUCAGCAGAGAGGGCUGCGUGCAUGAAACUGACUGUCACAGCAAACAUGCUGAUGGACAGGUCUUUGCUUCAGCACUGCUGCUGCUGCUGCAGCCAUGCAUCAGCCCCAGGAUGAAAUGCAAGAGACCACAUCGCUUUCAUGAGCGUGAGACUGACGUGGAGAACGUGAUUCCUGUCAAGAUUUGUGUGGGGCAGAUCCUGCCUUUCCAUUCCUCCCCCCAUCUCCCUAAAAUGUUCAGUGCAAGGAAAGAGGCAUCAAGGUGUUAAGUGACUUGAAGUAUUUUUGUAUUUGUAUCAUCUAGUAAACAAAGUUGCUGAAAAAUGUCAUUGUGUGAUCUUCACACGUGUGUGGGAGAC
rnacentral:lncRNA from 1 species